AUUGAACGCUGGCGGCAGGCUUAACACAUGCAAGUCGAACGAGUGGCGGACGGGUGAGUAAUGCUUGGGAAUCUAGCUUAUGGAGGGGGAUAACUACGGGAAACUGUCGCUAAUACCGCGUACCAUAGGAUGAGCCCAAGUGGGAUUAGGUAGUUGGUGAGGUAAAGGCUCACCAAGCCGACGAUUUCUAGCUGGUCUGAGAGGAUGACCAGGCACACUGGGACUGAGUCACGGACCAGAAUUCGACGGGAGGCAGUAGUGGGGAAUAUUGCUCAAUGGGGGCAACCUGACGCAGCCAUGCCGCGGGAAUGAAGAAGGCCUUCGGGUUGUAAAGUACUUUCAGUCGGGAGGCGUUACCGACAGAAGAAGCACCGGCUAACUCCGUGCCAGCAGCCGCGGUAAUAC
rnacentral:rRNA from 1 species